GUUUUAGUUCAGACUCCUGUGGCUGAGGGCCGCUGGCUGGCUCCUGAAAUUCAACAACACGGAGGAUGGUUCCCAGACCUAAGCUGACAGCAGUGCCAAGUCAGGCUGAUUUGACAGUGCGAAGGUACUUCUGCAAUCUGCCAUCAAGAACCGCAGCAGGUGAGUUUUGCUUGCCAGGAAAAAGGAGUGAUGUUUUUAUUCGGGGGACCUGUGGCUGGAGGUGCCUGGCUGGCUCCUGAAAUUCCAAAAUACGCAGGAUGGUUCCAAUACCCAAGCUGGCAACAGAGCCAAGCCGGUCUGGUUUGACAGUGCCAAGUGGCUCCUGUAAUCUGCCAUUAAGAACCGGUGCAGGUGAGUAUUGUUUGCCAGGAAAUAGGAGUGUGGUUUUUAUUCGGGGGACCUGUGGCAGGAGUGGCCAGCUGGCUUCUGAUAUUGAACAGGAGCAGGAUGGUUCCCAGAUCCAAGCUGACAACAGUGCCAAGUCAGGCUGGUCUGACAGUGCCAAGUGGCUCCUGCAAUCUGCCAACAAAAACGAGGGCAGGUGAGUUUCAUUUGCCGGGAAAAUUGAGUGAGGUUUCUAUUUGGGGGCCUGUUUCUGGAGUGGCCGGCUGGCUCCUGAAAUUCAACAGUACGUAGGAUGUUUCCCAGACCCAAGCUGGCAAAAGUGCAACAUCGGUCUGGUUUGACAUUGCCAAGUGGCUCCUGCAAUCUGCCAUCAAGAUCCGGGAAUGGUGAGUUUCAUUUACCAGGGAAAAUUGGCCAGCAUUUCUGUUUGGGUGUCUGUGGCCGCAGUGGCCGUCUGGCUCCUAAAAAUCUGCCAUACGCAGGAUGUAUCCCAGGCCCAAGCUACCACCAGUGACAAGCCAGGCUGUUUUGAUGGUGCCAAGUGGCUCCUGCAAUCAGCCAUCAAGAACCAGGGCAGGCAAUGCACCACGGAGGAGUGCAGAACCAGGUCGGGUUCUGAAGCAGCUGGAACAGCAGAUAAGCAUGGAGAGAAAAGGAGAAAAAAGAAGCGGAGACGCGCCGUGCCUCAGGUGAUGGUACAGGCGAGCCCAACCAAAACCUUCUGCCGCAACCUUGAAGAGCUGCAACAGUGCUGACGAUUUAGGUUUGUGCUAGGGGGCCUGUGGCUAGGAGUGGCUGGCUGGCUCCUGAAAUUCCACGACACACAGGAUGUUUCCCAGACCCAAGCUGGCACCAGAGCGAAAUCUGGCUUGAUUGACAGUGCCAGCCUCCUUCAAUCUGCCAUCCAGAAGUGGGGCAGGUGAGUUGUGUUUUGCAGGGAAAGCAUUGAGGUUUGCGUUGGGGGACCUGUGGCCGGGAGUUGCCGGAUGGCUUCUGAAAUUCCAGACCAUGCAGGAUGGUUCCCAGAUCCAAGGUGGCAUCAGAGGCAAGACAGGCUGGUUUGACAGUGCCAAGUACCUCUUGCAAACUGUCAUGAAGAGGCUGGGAGGGUGAAUUUUGUUUGCCAGGAAUUAGGAGACAGAUUUUAUUUGGUAGCAAGUGGCCAGCAUGGCCAGCUGGCUCCUGAAAUUCCACGAUACGCAGUAUGGUUCACAGAAACCAGCUGGAACCAGUGCCAUCUAAGGCUUGUUUGACAGUGCCAGGUGGCUCCUGCAAUCUGCUAUCCAGACUCAGGGCAGGUGAGUUUUCUUUGCCAGGCAAAAAACCCGAGGUUUGUGUUCAGGAACCUGUGGCCAGCUGGCUCCUGAAAUUCCACGAUACACAGGAUGGUUCCGAGACCCAAGCUGGCAUCAGUGCCAAUUCAUGCUGUUUUGACAGUGCCUAGUGGCUCCUGCAAUCUGCCAUAGAGAAGAGGUGCAGAUGAAUUUUGCUUGCUAGGGAAAAGGGCAUAGGUUUUUGUUGGAUGGCCUGUAGCUAGGAGUGGCCGGCUGUCUCCGGAAAUUCCACGAUACACAGGAUGGUUCCCAGACCGAAGCUGGCAUGAGAGCCAAGGCAGGCUGGAUUGACAGUGUCAAGUGGCUCUUGCAAUCUGCCAUCCAGAAACGGAACAGGUGAGUUGUGUUUUGCAGGGAAAAGCGCUGAGGU
rnacentral:lncRNA from 1 species